GAUGAACGCUGGCGGCGUGCUUAACACAUGCAAGUCGAACGGAGAUUGCUAAAGGAAGUUUUCGGAUGGAAUUUAGUAAUCUUAGUGGCGGACGGGUGAGUAACGCGUGGGUAACCUGCCUCAUACAGGGGGAUAACACUUAGAAAUAGGUGCUAAAACCGCAUAAGCGCACGAAAUCGCAUGAUUUAGUGUGAAAAACUCCGGUGGUAUGAGAUGGACCCGCGUCUGAUUAGCUAGUGGUGAGGUAACGGCCCACCAAGCGACGAUCAGUAGCCGGCCUGAGAGGGUGAACGGCCACAUUGGGACUGAGACACGGCCCAAAACUCCUACGGGAGGCAGCAGUGGGAACUAUUGCACAAUGGGGGAAACCCUGAUGCAGCGACGCCGCGUGAGUGAAG
rnacentral:rRNA from 1 species